CUUCCUGUUUGUCAGUCGGACCUUUGAUUGGGAGGCACCGGAGCGCGUGCUUCAAACAGCUCGGAGUCCAGUGUUGUCCCACCUGUCGUCGUCUCUUCAGGGCCUGUGGACCAUCCGAGCCUUUGGAGCAGAGGAGAGGUUCCAGAAAGCCUUCGAUGCCCAGCAGGACCUGCACUCAGAGGCCUGGUUCCUGUUGCUGACCACCUCUCGCUAGUUUGCUGUCCGUCUCC